UCCUUGUUCGACCCUAGAUGCAACGAGCUUUUAGGCACGCAUUAAAGUGGUUAGCAAGCCAGGUCUCANCCAUUAUUUUUUCUCAAGGUUGACCUCGGAUCAGGUAGGAAUACCCGCUGAACUUAAGCAUAUCAAUAAGCGGAGGAAAAGAAACCAACAGGGAUUACCCUAGUAACGGCGAGUGAAGCGGUAACAGCUCAAAUUUGAAAUCUGGCCCUUACCGGUCCGAGUUGUAAUUUGUAGAGGAUGUUUCGGGCAAGGCUCUGGUUUAAAUUUCUUGGAACAGAAUGUCGUAGAGGGUGAGAGUCCCGUCUAGAACCGACGGCCGCGUCCAUGUGAAACUCCUUCGACGAGUCGAGUUGUUUGGGAAUGCAGCUCAAAAUGGGUGGUAAAUUUCAUCUAAAGCUAAAUAUGGGCCAGAGACCGAUAGCGCACAAGUAGAGUGAUCGAAAGAUGAAAAGUACUUUGAAAAGAGAGUUAAACAGUAUGUGAAAUUGUUGAAAGGGAAGCGCUUGCAACCAGACUUGCGUGUGACGGUUCCCCCGGUCUUCUGACCGGGCUAUUCCGUCACAUCCAGGCCAGCAUCGGUUCGGGUGGUUGGUUAAAGGCCCCGGGAAUGUAUCUACCUUCGGGUCGACUUAUAGCCCGGGGUGUAAUGCGGCCUACCGGGACCGAGGAACGCGCUUUUUGCUCGGAUGCUGGCGUAAUGGUUGUAAGCGGCC
rnacentral:rRNA from 1 species